CUAACUUUCCAUGUAGUAACUAAACAUUUGAGCAAAACAAAAACUCAAAAGCUGAAACAUGGAGAAAUAUCUACUGCUUAUUGUAAUAACAGUAUCAGGAGUAUUUCCUGACAGCAUUGGACCAGGAGACAAGGAUGCUAAAAUCAGUGAAGAAGGAGAGUCUGUGACACUGAGCUGCUCAUACAGUACAAUCAGCAAUAUUGUUUUACUUUACUGGUACAGACAGUAUCCCAACAAAGAACCUCAGUAUUUACUGUGGAAAGGUGCUCGAUCCUGGAACAAUGAAGGGAAUAUACCAGACCCUCGCUUUGGGUCGAUUACAUCCCAAUCAACCACUGAACUCACCAUUAGGAGUGUAACUCUGUCAGAUUCAGCUCUUUAUUAUUGUGCUCUACGUACAGCAGCCCAGUGA